rnacentral:rRNA from 1 species
GGGGGCCUUAUUAAUGCCAGUCGAGCGGACAGAAGGGAGCUUGCUCCCGGAUGUUAGCGGCGGACGGGUGACGAACACAUGGGUAACCUGCCUGUAAGACUGGGAUAACUCCGGGAAACCGGAGCUAAUACCGGAUAGUUCCUUGAACCGCAUGUUUCAAGGAUGAAAGACGGUUUCGGCUGUCACUUACAGAUGGACCCGCGGCGCAUUAGCUAGUUGGUGGGGUAAUGGCUCACCAAGGCGACGAUGCGUAGCCGACCUGAGAGGGUGAUCGGCCACACUGGGACUGAGACACGGCCCAGACUCCUACGGGAGGCAGCAGUAGGGAAUCUUCCGCAAUGGACGAAAGUCUGACGGAGCAACGCCGCGUGAGUGAUGAAGGUUUUCGGAUCGUAAAGCUCUGUUGUUAGGGAAGAACAAGUGCGAGAGUAACUGCUCGCACCUUGACGGUACCUAACCAGAAAGCCACGGCUAACUACGUGCCAGCAGCCGCGGUAAUACGUAGGUGGCAAGCGUUGUCCGGAAUUAUUGGGCGUAAAGGGCUCGCAGGCGGUUUCUUAAGUCUGAUGUGAAAGCCCCCGGCUCAACCGGGGAGGGUCAUUGGAAACUGGGAAACUUGAGUGCAGAAGAGGAGAGUGGAAUUCCACGUGUAGCGGUGAAAUGCGUAGAGAUGUGGAGGAACACCAGUGGCGAAGGCGACUCUCUGGUCUGUAACUGACGCUGAGGAGCGAAAGCGUGGGGAGCGAACAGGAUUAGAUACCCUGGUAGUCCACGCCGUAAACGAUGAGUGCUAAGUGUUAGGGGGUUUCCGCCCCUUAGUGCUGCAGCUAACGCWUUAAGCACUCCGCCUGGGGAKUACGGUCGCAAGACUGAAACUCAAAGGAAUUUGACGGGGGGCCCCGCACAAGCGGUGGAGCAUGUGGUUUUAAUUCGAAGCAACGCGAAGAACCCUUUACCAGGUCUUGACAUCCUCUGACAACCCUAGAGAUAGGGCUUUCCCUUCGGGGAMCAGAGUGACAGGUGGUGCAUGGGUUUGUCGUCAGCUCGUGGUCGUGAGAUGAUUGGGUUAAGCUCCCGCAACGAGCCGCAAACCCUUGAAUCUUAGUUGGCCAGCCAUUUCAGCUUGGGCCACUCUCAAAGGUGACUGCCGGUGACAAACCGGAGGAAGGUGGGGAUGACGUCAAAUCAUCAUGCCCCUUAUGACCUGGGCUACACACGUGCUACAAUGGACAGAACAAAGGGCUGCAAGACCGCAAGGUUUAGCCAAUCCCAUAAAUCUGUUCUCAGUUCGGAUCGCAGUCUGCAACUCGACUGCGUGAAGCUGGAAUCGCUAGUAAUCGCGGAUCAGCAGGCCGCGGUGAAUACGUUCCCGGGCCUUGUACACACCUUUUCGUCACACCACGAGAGUUUGCAACACCCGAAGUCGGUGAGGUAACCUUUUAUGGAGCCAAGCCCCC